rnacentral:rRNA from 1 species
AUGGUGGGUUGGGGAUACCUAACAUCAAGGAAUUUUAAUAUGGCCUUGUUAGCGUCCUGGGGCAAAAGGUUCUUUGAUGAAUCUGAUGCAGAUUGGAAAAGAAUCAUCCACUACAAGUAUAGAGUGAAUUCUCCUAACAUUCUUUGGGAAAAGGGAGAUGGUGGUUCUACCUUUUGGAAGAGCAUCACCUGGGCAUUAGCUGCUGCUAAAAAUUUCUACAAAUGGAAAUUAGGUAAUGGUGAAUUAAUUAGCUUCUGGUAUGAUACCUGGGUUGGAGAAGGCUCCCUGAAGGUGCAAUUCUGGGACUUGUACUGUAUUUGUAACCAAACGGAAUGUACGGUGGCCCAUGUAUGGGACGGUCAGGAACUUAAGCUAUCUUUUAGGAGAUGCGUUGACCAAAGUGGGCUGAACAGAUGGGGUUUGUUGUCAAGGCUUGUUCAGCAGUGCAUAUUGUCAGAUGAGCCUGAUAUGCCGAUUUGGUCUUUGGAAUCUAAUGGGUUAUAUUCUGUGAAAUCCUUUUAUAAAAGCAUCAAUUUUGGAGGGAUAGCUUCUGCUAUCAAAGAUGAUCUUUGGAAAAUUUUGUGCCCUCAGAAGAUACAUGUAUUUUUGUGGUUGUGUGCUCAUAAUAAAAUUCUGACCAGAGACAACCUUUCUAAAAGGAGGGAGGUCGAGGACCUUUCCUGUCUUUUUUGUGCAGAGCUCGAAUCUGUACAUCAUUUGAUGUUUGACUGCGUAGUUGCUCGACAUGUGUGGGGAUUUGUAUCCGACUUCUUUGAAAUUGAUAGAAUUGCUAGCUUUGAUGAUGUCUUUGCUUUCUGGCAAGUACAUAAGAAAAACCUGUGCUUAACAUGGUUAUUGCUGCCUUCUUGUGGAGCUUGUGGAGACUAA